rnacentral:rRNA from 1 species
GAUGAACGCUGGCGGCGUGCUUAACACAUGCAAGUCGAGCGAAGCGCUUUGGUUAGAUUCUUCGGAUGAAGACCUUUGUGACUGAGCGGCGGACGGGUGAGUAACGCGUGGGUAACCUGCCUCAUACAGGGGGAUAACAGUUAGAAAUGACUGCUAAUACCGCAUAAGACCACAGUACCGCAUGGUACAGGGGUAAAAACUCCGGUGGUAUGAGAUGGACCCGCGUCUGAUUAGCUGGUUGGUGGGGUAACGGCCUACCAAGGCGACGAUCAGUAGCCGGCCUGAGAGGGCGACCGG